UGCUUCUUAAGUAUUUAUUUCUUACAUUUCUCCUGGGGGUAAUAUUAAAAAGGUACUAGAGGUUAAGCUGCGAGUAAGAGAAAGGGAAGUGAAGUGUUUCAUACAGCUGACAUAAAUUAUCUUGAGGAUCAUCUGAAAGCAAGACAAAAUGAGCGGAGGUAAAAGUUCAUCUGCUCCUUGAAGUCGCCUUCAUGUGUGUUGGGAUAGAGGCGGGUGCACACAGCAGGCGGCUGGAACAGCGACCCGCUAGCACAGGCAGCCAAGGAACUGAAGCGUGGAAAGGAAGAGUCCACAGAAGAACAAAAGAAAUAGUUGUGCAGAUUAAAAGAGGAGCGGUGGUCUCUGAGACAACGUUUCUGUGUUAUAUAUUUGUUUCAGUUGCUUACAAAGACGGACACUCAAAGUCACACAUUCAACACACAUGCACUGAAACGAAGUUUCGUGUUGCUCUGUGAAGCUGAGGUUUUCAGCUGUUCUGUUCCUGCUCGCCAUUUCCACAGGCCAGUGAUGCAGUCUGUUUCACAGUUGCUUCAAAGCUUGAAACUUAGGAAAUUAAUCCUUCUUCCUGAAAAACCUUCUUAAAGAUUAAAUAUCAGUCGAGAUUUCUCCAGCGGAAUGCCUCUUCUGCAAUGGCUCAAAAUGCUGGUCUGCGUCUUACACUGGGCAGGAGACUGGAGUCUACCGCAGAGGUCUACAGUUCAAAUCUAGUGGAAAUCACGUCAUCUCCAGUCACAAAUCACAUCUGCAGCAGCCAUUUCUCUGGGCUUCUCAGUUAUGUAUUUUUAAUGUCAAGGUGCCAGAUGCUGUCUAGUGGACCUCAAGUGUCCUUCAGAGGACCACGUGCAUGUGAAGAGCUUGGCCCCCGGCCCGACCCCACUUGGCGGACGCUACUUCAUCAAUUUGAUAUAUCAACAUUCAAUCAUAUUCAACAUCACAAUGCACAGUCCCUGGUGGAUUUCAGAUGGCACUGAAUCUCUGUUAAGAGCUGAGUUGUGACCCUCUCAACGUACAAUAUCUUGGAAUUUUAAUCCCUAUUUUCUCAAACUGUGACCUUUUUUGGGAAAUAAGCCCUUUGCAAUUGUAAUCAAUUAAGAUGAUAUCACUAUGGUGUUCUCUACUAUAAAGUGACUAAUGUCUUUCGAGAAACUAGAGUUAUUUGGAAACACUAGCACGCACACACAUGUGCGUGUGUAUACACACACAGACACACACAGGAGCAUUAUGUGGAAAUAAAGGCCGAAACUGAAGCAAUGCUUCAAUGAGUCAUGUACUGCCAAAAGUUACCAGAAAACUUGAAGUCAUAGGAGAGUCAUGUAACCCUUAGAAGAACCCAACUCUGCCAAUGCCUGGAUCUCAGACUUCUAGUCUCCAGGUCUGUGAAACAAUAAGACACCAGACAUUGUAAUUUGUUAUAGCAACUCUAGCAAAGCAAUAUGUAGUCUUUAUGUCUUUGACAUACCCCACAUUGCCAGUGUUCAGCGUUUCUUUUUGUUUUUGAUGCAACACCUAUAUUGUAUUGCUUUGUCAGAAUAAUUUCUGGUUAAUCUUUCUAAUUUUAGAGGUAAAACAU
ensembl:lincRNA